rnacentral:rRNA from 1 species
UACGUAGGGGGGCAAGCGUUGUCCGGAUUUAUUGGGCGUAAAGAGCGUGUAGGCGGCCUGAAAGGUCAGCUGUGAAAACUCGAGGCUCAACCUCGAGACGUCGGUUGAAACCAUCUGGCUAGAGUCCGGAAGAGGAGUGUGGAAUUCCCGGUGUAGCGGUGAAAUGCGCAGAUAUCGGGAGGAACACCAGUGGCGAAGGCGGCCUUCUGGACCAGUACUGACGCUCAUGGCAACGAAAGCGUGGGGAGCAAACAGG